rnacentral:rRNA from 1 species
CGUGAGGAACCUGCCUUGGAGUGGGGAAUAACAGUUAGAAAUAGCUGCUAAUACCGCAUAAUGCAGUUGGGUCGCAUGGCUCUGACUGCCAAAGAUUUAUCGCUCUGAGAUGGCCUCGCGUCUGAUUAGAUAGUUGGCGGGGUAACGGCCCACCAAGUCGACGAUCAGUAGCCGGACUGAGAGGUUGGCCGGCCACAUUGGGACUGAGACACGGCCCAGACUCCUACGGGAGGCAGCAG